rnacentral:lncRNA from 1 species
GUUGGGUUGCGAAGGUAAUUUGAUCGGAGUUCAUCCCGCUUUUCUGCGUUGUCCGAAGUGUAUGCGAAGUAGAGGGUCUGCACUUCUAGGCCUUUGCAAAGAUUUAUUUUAGAUUUUUGAAGAUUUGAUCUCUAAUUCUACUACUGUCCACGUACAGAUUUGAUCCUUAUUCACGUAGAUUUGUAAAAAAAAAUUAGAUGCAAUCUGGGCUAUCUGAAGAGAAACAGCUUCCCUUCCCUUCAUGACACUACUGCUUGGAUGUGAUUCCCCCAUGCGCGGGAUGCAAGGCCCAACCAUCCAGCUUUCGAAGUCUG